GUUGAUCCUGUAACAGAUUGAACGCUGGCAGGAUGCUUUACACAUGCAAGUCAGACGGCAGCACGGACUUCGGUCUGGUGGCGAGUGGCGAACGGGUGAGUAAUGCCUGGAGCGUGCCUAGUAGCGGGGGAUAACUACGCGAAAGCGUAGCCUAAUACCACAUACGCCCUUCGAGGAAAGCGAGAGGGACAGCGGGCCUCGCACUGUUAAACGGCCGAUAUCGGAUUAGCUAGUUGGUGGGUAACGGCUCUGGAAAAAGCGAUCCGUAACUGGGUUGGGGACGACCAGCUACAUGGGACCUGAGACACGGCCCAGACUCUACGGGGAGGCAGCAGUGGGGAAUUUUGAACAAUGGGGAAACUGAUCAGCCAUCACGCGUGUGCGAUGCGAAGGCCUUCAGGUUAUGCAAGCACUUUUGGCGGGGAAAGAAACGGCACGGGAUAAUGCCCCGUGCAACUGACAUUACCUGCAGAAUAAGCACCGGCUAACUUCGUGCCAGCAGCCGCGGUAGCCGUAGGGUGCAAGCGUUAAUCGAUUACUGGGCGUAAAGCGUUGCAGGCGGGUUCGGAAAGAAAAAAGAUGUGAAACUCCAGAGCUUAACUUUGGAACUGCAUUUUCAACUACCGAGCUAGAGAGUGUGUCAGAGGGAGGUGGAAUUCCGCGUGUAGCAGUGGAAAUGCGUAGAUAUGCGGAGGAACACCGAUGGCGAGGCAGCCUCCUGGGAUAACACUGACGCUCGUGCACGAAAAGCGUAAGGAGCAAGCAGAGUUAAGAAUACUGGUGCGAUCCACGCUUGCUGAUGUCAACUAGCUGUUGGGGCCUUCGGGCCUUGGUAGCGCAACCCCAACGCGUGAAGUUGACCGCCUGGGGAAGCCACGGUCGCAAGAUUAAAACUCAAAGGAAUUGACGGGGACCCGCACAAGCGGUGGAUGAUGUGGAUUAAUUCGGUGUGAAAAACCUUACCUACCCUUGACAUGUCUGGAAUCGAAGAGAUUUGGGAGUGCUCGCAAGAGAGCCGGAACACAGGUGCCGCGGCUGUCAUCAAACUCAAGGUGUCAGCGAGAUGUUGGGUUAAGUCCCGCAACGAGCGCAACCCUUGUCAUUAGUUGCUACAAAGGGCCUCAUGGGGCUGCACCAGUGACAAACCGGAGGAAGGUGGGGAUGACAUCGAUCCUCAGCCCUUAGGUAGGGCUUCACCGUCAUACAAUGGUCGGAACGGUCGCCAACCCGCGAGGGGAGCCGUCGAGCAUUCGUAGUCCGGAUCACCAGUCUGCAACUCGACUGCGUGAAGUCGGAAUCGCUAGUAAUCGCGGAUCAGCAUGUCGCGGUGAAUACGUUCCGGGUCUUGUACACACCGCCCGUCACACCAUGGGAGUGGGUUUUACCAGAAGUAGUUAGCCUAACCGUAGAGGGCGAUUACCACGGUAGGAUUCAUGACUGGGGUGAAGUCGUAACAAGAGUAA
rnacentral:rRNA from 1 species